rnacentral:rRNA from 1 species
GCGGUGGAAACGCCGUCUAAUACCGGAUACGACCCACCACCUCAUGGUGGAGGGUGGAAAGUUUUUCGGUCAGGGAUGGGCUCGCGGCCUAUCAGCUUGUUGGUGGGGUAACGGCCUACCAAGGCGAUUACGGGUAGCCGGCCUGAGAGGGCGACCGGCCACACUGGGACUGAGACACGGCCCAGACUCCUGCGGGAGGCAGCAGUGGGGAAUAUUGCGCAAUGGGCGAAAGCCUGACGCAGCGACGCCGCGUGGGGGAUGACGGCCUUCGGGUUGUAAACCUCUUUUACCACCAACGCAGGCUCCGGGUUCUCCCGGGGUUGACGGUAGGUGGGGAAUAAGGACCGGCUAACUACGUGCCAGCAGCCGCGGUAAUACGUAGGGUCCGAGCGUUGUCCGGAAUUAUUGGGCGUAAAGAGCUCGUAGGCGGCGUGUCGCGUCUGCUGUGAAAGACCGGGGCUUAACUCCGGUUCUGCAGUGGAUACGGGCAUGCUAGAGGUAGGUAGGGGAGACUGGAAUUCCUGGUGUAGCGGUGAAAUGCGCAGAUAUCAGGAGGAACACCGGUGGCGAAGGCGGGUCUCUGGGCCUUACCUGACGCUGAGGAGCGAAAGCAUGGGGAGCGAACAGGAUUAGAUACCCUGGUAGUCCAUGCCGUAAACGUUGGGCGCUAGGUGUGGGGACUUUCCACGGUUUCCGCGCCGUAGCUAACGCAUUAAGCGCCCCGCCUGGGGAGUACGGCCGCAAGGCUAAAACUCAAAGGAAUUGACGGGGGCCCGCACAAGCGGCGGAGCAUGUUGCUUAAUUCGACGCAACGCGAAGAACCUUACCAAGGUUUGACAUCACCCGUGGACCUGCAGAGAUGUGGGGUCAUUUAGUUGGUG